GGUCUUUUGACAAUGUUGACGCCCCAGCCUCUGCUCUCAAACAGCAGGGCGUCUUUGUGAUUGGUAUUGGAACAAGGAACUCUGACAGUAGAGAGCUGCAGAAGUUAUCAUAUGAGCCUACUUAUGCGCUAUCAGUCUCUGAAUUCACCGACCUCCCUAGUGUCCAAGCACAACUCUCCUCUGUCAUGAGCACAGCACUGGCAAGGGUUACACCUUUGCCACCUACAGUGACGGUGGUGAGACAGCAGCCAGCAGGAAGGGAUGUGGUGUUCUUGCUGGAUGGAUCUGACGGCACCAGAACUGGCUUCCCAGCAAUGCGAGACUUUGUCCAAAGGGUAGUAGAGACACUCAGUGUAGAUGACAACAAAGA